CCUCAAACUAGGCCUCCCGGUCUCCUGGAGCCAGGUUUCAAACCACUGGUCCUGAAAAAGUGUUUUCGUGUUCCUUCAGCUUAAGAAAGGGGUUGAGCAGCUGGGGUUGGAUGGUUCACAUUAUUAUAUUUGUUCACGGUUUUCUAAAACGAAUGUGUUUUACUACAUCUGCAAAAAUAUUAAACAAACUACAGUUCCCAGAGAACACCGCGGCGCAGAUUCGACGCAUAGCCGUGUCGUCACGCUUGCAUCGUCAUCAGUCUUUAGCCGGAAGCAGCAUGGCCAGCAGUGAUAAAAGCCAUGGGUGUCUCCAAAGUGUGGGAUCGGCAGCCUAAACAAAACAAAAUGGUCAGUGGAACAUCCUUCAAAGAACUUCUUGAAAAAGGUUCACAAAAACUUGGCCUUCCAAAAAAAGGGCAUAUACUGGUCCUGGAAACUGACGGAACUGAGAUUGAUGACGACGAAAUCUUAUUGGAGAUGCAAUCAGAAACUUUAAUAAUACUGAUGGAAGGAGAGAGCUGGAUCCCACAGAUACCCACAGAAGAACAAGCGAGCAUAACAUCAAUUGAGCAGAAGUCUGAUUCCGAAAAAAUAAAUGAAAUCCUAUCCCUUGACUCCGCAGCGUACAUGGAAUCUUUUACAAAUGGGAGAUGAUCAACAGUGGAUGAUAGAACCCCUCUGCCUCCAUUUUCUGCCCUGGUGCAUAGAAGUCUUCUGGCUGGCAAUUCAAGAGGGAUAUGGCAUAAAAUGGUUGAUGAAGUAUCUAAUUGUUAUCUGGCUAAUUAUCCCAGCCUAAGUGACAGUUCUGAAUACAAGGCCAUUGGAAAAAAAGCUGUAUAGCAAAUACCCAUGCAUUAAGCAUGAAGGGAAUGAACCAUGGUCCUUAUUUUCUAAGUGCCUCAGUCAGAAGAUGAGGCACAUGAGGUGGUCUUUAAAAAGGAAAAACCUGCCCAUUGACUCCAGUUCGGCACCAAUUAUGGCAAAGAAAGCCCAGGUACCUACCAUACAGAGGCCUGAAGAACGGCCCGAUGAAGAAUACGUCCGCCAUGUCGAAGAAUUAAGAAAAGAAUUUGACUAAAGCCUAAUGACAAUCACAUAGACAUUCUUCUUAAAGAAACCUUUGGCAAUCGUCGAUUGUGGCUGACCACUCUUCCAGCUGGAAGAAUUAAACCAGUUGUUGAAGUUUACCCUUGUUUUGAAUGGGGAAAAUUUGUAAGUAUUUGUUUAUUUACUCAUGUUAUUGUAAAGUUAUAGAGGGCAUACUACAAUUCACCUGCUUACAGUUAACUGCAUUAUUAUUUUCCUUCUACAGUUUCAUCAAACAGUCAAUAUUACUGAUCACUAAAAUAAAAUUCAAAUUGUGGUUGUGAAUGUUGGUUUAAAGGUUGCGAUUUGCUUUAAUCCAAUUCAAGUACAGUUAUUAUGAUGAUGAUAUACAGAAACUCAUUUUGUGACAUUUAUUUUACUUUAUUUUUUAUUCAUUUUAAGUAAAUAUUUAUUUUUAAUGUAAUGUCAACCAUUUUCUAAAACUGUUAUCUGACAGCAGAGGUCCUGGGUUUAUAAAUUCUAGUUCAACAUUCCUGCUUUGGAGGUAGUUUUUAUUUAUUUUUAUUUUUUUUACAACUUGUGCAUGUGUUUUUCUAUGAGGUAAUGGGUGAAUUUGCAAUGGUCCUUGGAAGUACAUGAUUUGAAACAUUGUGCAAAAGGGCUGAACAGGUUAGGACGGUCUCUGAGUUACUGAUUGGAUCCAAGAAAGAGGGAGAUCUCAGAAUGCUACCUGUAAUUCAGCUCAUUGAAGAAAAAACGAAAUUUGAUCAAGGAAAGGGGAAAAAGUCACUGUAUACAAGGAUAUAUCUACAAGUGAACUUGACAAGUACCUGAAAACCACACAAGAAGAACCACCGCAUCUUGUUCUUUGUGUUGCAAAGAACACCCUCCAGGAAGCUGUAAUAGUAGAGGAUACUGUUGCGAUAUUUUGCCAAGCAAAAACUGGAUUCGAUGCUGUUCUUGUUCUCCUGGGAACGUACUAUGCCUUCCACCUGCAGUACCCCAAAGUUUAUUCGCAGGUGCUUGGAUUCCUGCAGCAGUAUAUAUUGGGAGACCCAUUUACUGGAUGCAAAUCCCAUCAAUACAGAUUUAUUUGCAAAAGGGUUGAACGAUUAAAUGAAUGAAUUACAACAAUAACAUUCUUACAUAAUUGUAAAUAUCUGUAAACAAAUUAAAUAAUUGUAAAUGAUUUGUUAAAUCUGGAUUUCAUGAUAAGGUAGUAUGUUUUUAUUGUGUAUUUAAAUAAUUUAUUUGAGGGAGUGGUCAUAUACAGUAUUCUAUUUGAUGUUUUAGAUGUUUUUAAUACAAUCAUAUAUAUGUAUAUAGGUGUAACAGAUUUUAUUCUACAAAUUUUAAAUAUUUAUUACAAUUCAAAUACUUGUUACUCUUGCAAAAGAUUUUUUGUGAAAAAAAAAAGUUUUUGGCUUAACUUUGAAAUAUGCAAUAAAUAAAAGUAAGUUGUUUAAUUUGUGUCUUUUUGUAUUGUAAAAAUAAGAGA